CACAUGCAAGUCGAGCGGUAGCACAGAGAGCUUGCUCUCGGGUGACGAGCGGCGGACGGGUGAGUAAUGUCUGGGAAACUGCCUGAUGGAGGGGGAUAACUACUGGAAACGGUAGCUAAUACCGCAUAAUGUCGCAAGACCAAAGUGGGGGACCUUCGGGCCUCAUGCCAUCAGAUGUGCCCAGAUGGGAUUAGCUAGUAGGUGGGGUAACGGCUCACCUAGGCGACGAUCCCUAGCUGGUCUGAGAGGAUGACCAGCCACACUGGAACUGAGACACGGUCCAGACUCCUACGGGAGGCAGCAGUGGGGAAUAUUGCACAAUGGGCGCAAGCCUGAUGCAGCCAUGCCGCGUGUGUGAAGAAGGCCUUCGGGUUGUAAAGCACUUUCAGCGGGGAGGAAGGCGUUAAGGUUAAUAACCUUGGCGAUUGACGUUACCCGCAGAAGAAGCACCGGCUAACUCCGUGCCAGCAGCCGCGGUAAUACGGAGGGUGCAAGCGUUAAUCGGAAUUACUGGGCGUAAAGCGCACGCAGGCGGUCUGUCAAGUCGGAUGUGAAAUCCCCGGGCUCAACCUGGGAACUGCAUUCGAAACUGGCAGGCUAGAGUCUUGUAGAGGGGGGUAGAAUUCCAGGUGUAGCGGUGAAAUGCGUA
rnacentral:rRNA from 1 species